GGAGGAAAAGAAACUAACCAGGAUUCCCUUAGUAACGGCGAGCGAACCGGGAAGAGCCCAACGUGAAAAUCUCCAGCCCUCGGCUGGCGAAUUGUAGUCUAUAGAAGCUGUCUCUGUGUCGGCUCGGGUCCAAGUUCCCUGGAAAGGGACGUCAGAGAGGGUGAGAACCCCGUGGGCCCCGAGUGUACGUCACCCCACGAGACGCUCUCGCAGAGUCGGGUUGUUUGGGAAUGCAGCCCAAAGCAGGUGGUAAAUCCCAUCUAAGGCUAAAUAUUGACGGGAGACCGAUAGCGAACAAGUACCGCGAGGGAAAGAUGAAAAGAACUUUGAAAAGAGAGUUAAAAAGUGCUUGAAAUUGUUGAGAGGGAAGCGAUUGGAAGCCGCGGGUGCCCCCAGGCUUACGGGCAGGACUCACCUCCUGCUCUGAAUGUGCUGGGGGCUGGUCAGCAUGGGUUGUCCGGGAGGGAAAACCCCAGAGGUUGAUACUCUGGCCAUGCCUCCUGGUCGACCGAGGAACGAAGGGUGCCCCAGUCGAGCUUGCUCGAACCGCACCCUGAAGAUGCUGGCAGAAGGUGUCCAAUCGGCUCGUCUUGAAACACG
rnacentral:rRNA from 1 species